AAAUUUGCAUUAUAAAUAACAGAAGUAAAAACGGUGAAGAAAUUAAAGUUAUUGCAACACUUGAAAACAAGAGAAUUACGAGUUUUUUCAAUCCUGGGUGGGGUGUAUUUUUGUCAAUAUUAAAAAUUGGAACACAUUCCUAGUUUGAUUGAAUUUUCAUGAUCUUCUCCAAACUCUUCGAAGUUCUAUGUAGGAAUCCUGCGAUGAUAAGUAUAAAAGUGAACAAUUUUAUUGGAAAAAAUAUAAAUGCGAUAACUAUACGGUAA